AUCUACAGCCAUGUCACCCUGAACAAGCUCAAUCCCGUCUGAUCUCGGAAGCUAAGCAGGGUCGGGCCUGGUUAGUACUUGGAUGGGAGACCACCUAGGAAGACCAGGUGCUGUAGGCG
rnacentral:rRNA from 1 species